GGCAAUAUAGCUUAACCGGAAGAGUACUUCCCUGUCAAGGAAGGGGGUGAGAGUUCAAAUCUCUCUAUUGUCGCCA
rnacentral:tRNA from 1 species